rnacentral:rRNA from 1 species
UACGUAGGGUGCAAGCGUUGUCCGGAAUUAUUGGGCGUAAAGAGCUCGUAGGCGGUUUGUCGCGUCUGCUGUGAAAACCCGGGGCUCAACCUCGGGCCUGCAGUGGGUACGGGCAGGCUGGGAUUCGGUAGGGGAGACUGGAAUUCCUGGUGUAGCGGUGAAAUGCGCAGAUAUCAGGAGGAACACCGGUGGCGAAGGCGGGUCUCUGGGCCGAUAUCGACGUGAGGAGCGAAAGCGUGGGAGCGAACAGG